GAUCCUGGCUCAGGAUGAACGCUGGCGGCAGGCUUAACACAUGCAAGUCGAACGGUAACAUAAAGAAGCUUGCUUCUUUGAUGACGAGUGGCGGACGGGUGAGUAAUGCUUGGGAAUCUAGCUUAUGGAGGGGGAUAACUACGGGAAACUGUAGCUAAUACCGCGUAAUAUCGAGAGAUUAAAGUGUGGGACCUUCGGGCCGCAUGCCAUAGGAUGAGCCCAAGUGGGAUUAGGUAGUUGGUGAGG
rnacentral:rRNA from 1 species